rnacentral:rRNA from 1 species
AUUGAACGCUAGCGGCAGGCCUAACACAUGCAAGUCGAACGGAGUGGCGGACGGGUGAGUAAUGCCUAGGAAUCUGCCCCGUAGCGGGGGAUAACUACGGGAAAGCGGAGCUAAUACCGCAUACUAUUAGAUGAGCCGAUGUCGGAUUAGCUAGUUGGUGGGGUAAAGGCCUACCAAGGCGACGAUCCGUACCUGGUCUGAGAGGAUGACCAGUCACACGGGAAGUGAGACACGGCCCAGACUCCUACGGGAGGCAGCAGUGGGGAAUGUUGGACAAUGGGGGAAAGCCUGAUCCAGCCAUGCCGCGUGUGUGAAGAAGGGCUUCGGAUUGUAAAGCACUUUAGGUAGGGAGGCGUUACCAACAGAAUAAGCACCGGCUAACUACGUGCCAGCAGCCGCGGUAAUAC